rnacentral:misc_RNA from 1 species
GAUGAAGAACGCAGCGAAAUGCGAUAAGUAAUGUGAAUUGCAGAAUUCAGUUAAUCAUCGAAUCUUUGAACGCACCUUGCACUCCUUGGUAUUCCGAGGAGUACGCCUGUUCGAGUGUUAUGAAGCUCUCAAAACGCAAUUGGCUUAAAACCUGAUUGUUGUUUUGGAUUUGAACUUUGCCGUGUUAUAACGGCUGGUUUUAAAAGUAUUAGCUGGUACUAGAACGAAUUGGUUCUACUCAACGUGAUAAUUAUCUGAUCGUUGAGGACAUUCCUUUCACGAGGAAUGGCCAUAGUAAAUUCAAUGGACUGCUUCUAAUCUGGCUUUAAUUCUUUAUUGGAUUAACCACUUUUCAAAUCUGACCUCGAAUCAGGUGGGACUACCCGCUGAACUUAAGCAUAUCAAUAAGCGGAGGA